rnacentral:tRNA from 1 species
AAUAAGAAAGCAGUGUAUUCCUGUUCUUAGUUUCGACCUAAGAGAAAGUAAUAGAUAUUACUCUUAUUA